AUGAGGACUGGGCAGAGAGGACUUACACUGGACCAAUGAAGAGACUUCUUCUUGAUGUGGGUUAUAUCGUUCAGGUAGCAGACUUCCCGCAAUACCAUCCUCGUUUCUGCGUCCAACGGAUUGAAUACGAAAACCUCAAACGGAUCUGCAAAAAA